rnacentral:lncRNA from 1 species
AAGCAACCCAGAGCCCUCCUCCCGCCUGCUCUGUGUAGGAGACAGCCUGCGGAGCCCACUGCCGGCGCGCAGAGAGCCCAGCAGCUCUUGAGUCCAGGAAGCAAGGGUGGGAGGAGGGACGAGCCAGUGGCAAUGACCCAGACCCGGACGACCCCCAUUGCUGAGCCAGCGGAGCUGCUUGGAGGCAGAGGUUGCAGUGAGCUGAGAUUUUGCGACUACACUCCAACCUGGGCAACAGAGCGGGACUCCAUUCCAAAAAAAUAAGAAAAACAGAAAAAUAAUAAUUACAUCUGCAAAGACCUUAUUUCCAGGCUCAAGCAGAGUCUUCCUCCUGGUGUUCCAGAAGGAGUUCAAGGUCCUGCUCCAUAUGGGACAGCUAGAUUCUGAGGGCAAUGUUGAGAUCCUCAUCUCCAGAAGUUAAAAAGAACAAGUCUGGUCGGGCACGGUGGCUCACACCUGUAAUUCAAGACUGGGAAGUGGAGGCAGGCGGAUCACCUGAGGUCAGGAGUUCCAGACCAGCCUACCCAACAUGCAGGCAAGAAGAAUCUGUUGGAUGAUUACAACAUUGCUGGAUUGAUAGCAGCCUCACCUGCCAGGCUCAAACUCCAGGGUCCACGAGGCUGGUGUCAGACCUAUUGGGAGACCCUCUGCGUUAGUGAGAAAAACGGCAAGAAAUGGGAGCACGCGGAAACCUCCAAGACUAGAGCCACCAGAUGCCACCGACAGCACGCAGCUGGACCAGCACGGGGGAGGGCCUUCGUGGGUCGAGAGCUCGCUCGGGAGAUAGUUGGUGCUUUUCUUUCAGGAGAAGAAUCCCUGGCGGAGUCUGACCGUUCUCUGGCGCACAGCCCCGGGGGUGGGCACAGCAGCCGCCCCUGCUGAAGGGACUGACGCCUCCGACGACCAGCAGCCAAGUUAAACGCACUGUUCCGUGAGCAGCUUUGUUGGAGACAGCGCGGUUCACAUUCUCUUCCAACGGAGCCGCUGACUGCGGAGCUGGGAGGGGACGUGACAGAACCCAGCCAUCCAACGUCCCCCCACCCCUCCCCAGCUGGGACCUCCGGCUGCUUCCGGGCUGCGCUGGGUGGCGUCAAGGAGCCGCCCCUCUGGGCCGCGUCCCUCCCUCACGCCCUGCACACUGGCCCUGUGUGGCCGGCGGGGCGCCUAAAAGGGCGGAAGGAUGCAGGGGCGGAGGGGGCUCGGGAUUGCACGCCUAGCUCAGACCCCCCAGCCAGGACCCCUCGCGCUGUUGGACACGCCAGCCUCCCGACCCUGCGGCUCCUACGGGAGGUGACAAGGACCCUGCCAACCUGGCCUGAAUGGCCCAGUUUGAUACAGAUCAGGUUUUCAAUGAAUGAGACCGCGGUGUGGUCUAGGCGGAGGGAUGAGAGGAGGGGAUUCUGCUGGGAUAAGUGGGGGCGGGGUAAGGAGGGGAUUCUUUUCCUGGGCUGAGGAGAACGCAGGGACAAAGUACACAGGGGUAGUUGAGUGAGCAGGUGAGGCCCUAGGCUGGUUCCCCACCUUCUCAGGAUCGGAGCCACUCACUUCCUGGUACUCUCUGCAGUCUCCUGGCGUUAAAUAACAUCCCUUUGCUGGAGACUCUGGAUUCACAUCCAUAAUCGCAGCCUCCCCUACUCAUCCCCUCACGCUUCCCAUGAACUAACCUUGAAGGACCCGACCAGAGCCCUGACCUCCGUCCCACACACCUGCUACAUGGAAGGUGUUCUCCACAUCAGUUCAAGGCAGUGUCACUCUUCAGGAUGUUCAGGCUCUAAACCUUGGACUCCUCCUCCAGAUUUCUCUCUCCUUCCUUCUCCUUGUCUCUCCCUUGCACUUACGGUUCACUUUUCCUUCGUAGCUUUGUAGCUCAUUCCCCCUUCCACUUUCCACACCACCUUCUGGUCUGUUAAUUAAAUAUUACCUGGUUUCCACUGACACCUUCCCUGGGUUCCCAAUUGAAAAUCACAACAUCAUCCUCCUCCUCUGCUUUUUUUCUCCAAAUUAUAUCCUCACCCAAUUAUGUGUUAUUCUCAUUAAUCUUGCUUAAUUAAUUAGCAGACAUUAUUAAUGCCUGUUUCCCCUAUCACCACCACUAGACUAUGAACUCCUAAGGACUCCUUCCUUCCACCACUGUUGUACUCGCUUCACCUAGAACUGCUUGGCACAUACAAUGUGCUCCAUAAAUAUUUGUUGAAUGAAAGACUAGACACAACUUAGGAUUCACUCCCCCAUGUGGCAUCCAUAAGCCCUGUAUGCAGGUAAAAUGUCAGUGGGUUGACUAAAUACUGGAAGUGGAAAAAACUUCACCUCUUUGGUUUGCAGUUGUCUAGGAUAUUUAGGCCAAUGGAAAAUCCAGUUUUCCUUAGAAUUAAGCCAGUGCCGCCAGACUUGCCAGUUUACCAUGCUUGUCUGACUGGUCCUCAGCAUGGGUCAUACGUGUCCAAUGAAUUCAAACAAAAUCUUGAGAAGACACGAACCUUGCCCUUCGGCUGGGCGCGGUGGCUCACGCCUGUAAUCCCAGCACUUUGGGAGGCCGAGGCAGGCGGAUCACGAGGUCAGGAGAUCGAGACCAUCCUGGCUAACAUGGUGAAACCCCGUCUCUACUAAAAAUACAAAAAAUUAGCCGAGCGUGGUGGCGGGCGCCUGUAGUCCCAGCUACUCAGGAGGCUGAGGCAGGAGAAUGGCGUGAACCCGGGAGGCGGAGCUUGCAGUGAGUGAGCCGAGAUCGCACCCCUGCACUCCAGCCUGGGCGACAGAGCGAGACUCCGUAAAAAAACAAAAAAAAAACCUUGCCCUUCAUUCCCCAUUUCUAUCAUAAUCUACACAGAGUUUUGAACAGGCAUUUUAAAAUCAACAAUAUAUUAUUUACAAUUUUGUUAGUAUACAUAACUCUAACUCACUGUUAAAAAUCACCUGUCUUUAUAUCCAUUAAAUGACACUUGCAUAUGCUCCAA